rnacentral:rRNA from 1 species
UGCGUAGGUGGUUUCUUAAGUCAGGAGUGAAAGACUACGGCUCAACCGUAGUAAGCUCUUGAAACUGGGAAACUUGAGUGCAGGAGAGGAAAGUGGAAUUCCUAGUGUAGCGGUGAAAUGCGUAGAUAUUAGGAGGAACACCAGUGGCGAAGGCGGCUUCCUGGCACACAACUGACGCUCAUGUGCGAAAGCUGGGGGAGCAACG